UACGGAGGGAGCUAGCGUUGUUCGGAAUUACUGGGCGUAAAGCGCGCGUAGGCGGCUUUGUAAGUUAGAGGUGAAAGCCCGGGGCUCAACCCCGGAACUGCCUUUAAAACUGCAUCGCUUGAAUCCGGGAGAGGUGAGUGGAAUUCCGAGUGUAGAGGUGAAAUUCGUAGAUAUUCGGAAGAACACCAGUGGCGAAGGCGGCUCACUGACCGGUAUUGACGCUGAGGUGCGAAAGCGUGGGGAGCAAACAGG
rnacentral:rRNA from 1 species